UUGAUAAUGAAACAAACAGGUGUCAGAUAGGCAGGGUGACCUCACUCUGCCGGAUCUGGUGAAAAGGGAAACAGGUGCGAAUCCUGUACGAACUCGUCACUGUAUUUAGGGAGUGCAUGCCAAAAACUCACUGGGCAGCCGGGAAGAGGGCAAUGCAUGAUGAUCUGUAAGUCAGGAGACCUGCCUGAUUGUUGUACGGGAA
rnacentral:ncRNA from 2 species